rnacentral:rRNA from 1 species
UGGGGAAUUUUCCGCAAUGGGCGCAAGCCUGACGGAGCAAUGCCGCGUGAGUGAUGAAGGCCUUAGGGUUGUAAAGCUCUUUUACCAGGGAUGAUAAUGACAGUACCUGGAGAAUAAGCUCCGGGUAACUCCGUGCCAGCAGCCGCGGUAAUACGGAGGGUGCUAGCGUUGUUCGGAAUUACUGGGCGUAAAGCGCACGUAGGCGGCCAAUCAAGUCAGGGGUGAAAUCCCGGGGCUCAACCCCGGAACUGCCCUUGAAACUGGUAGGCUAGAAUACUGGAGAGGUGAGUGGAAUUCCGAGUGUAGAGGUGAAAUUCGUAGAUAUUCGGAAGAACACCAGUGGCGAAGGCGACUCACUGGACAGUUAUUGACGCUGAGGUGCGAAAGCGUGGGGAGCAAACAGGAUUAGAUACCCGCGUAGUCC